rnacentral:rRNA from 1 species
AAACCGGAGCUAAUACCGGAUACUAUGUCAAACCGCAUGGUUUGACAUUCAAAGACGGUUUCGGCUGUCACUUACAGAUGGGCCCGCGGCGCAUUAGCUAGUUGGUGAGGUAACGGCUCACCAAGGCGACGAUGCGUAGCCGACCUGAGAGGGUGAUCGGCCACACUGGGACUGAGACACGGCCCAGACUCCUACGGGAGGCAGCAGUAGGGAAUCUUCCGCAAUGGACGAAAGUCUGACGGAGCAACGCCGCGUGAGUGAUGAAGGUUUUCGGAUCGUAAAACUCUGUUGUCAGGGAAGAACAAGUGCCGGAGUAACUGCCGGCGCCUUGACGGUACCUGACCAGAAAGCCACGGCUAACUACGUGCCAGCAGCGCGGGUAAU